rnacentral:lncRNA from 1 species
ACUCGGUCACUGUCUGCACUGUGCUGGAAAAUGGAAAGCAAAGUCAACUGGUGUUAACAACCUUCACCACAGAACAUUUUCAGUGGUGGAAGAGACCCUCCACAGUUGCUGCAGUGUUUGUUCUACUGGCUGUGAUCAUGGGCCUGCGGGAUUCCUAUGCAGCUGCAGAGAGAGACCAGCUACAGACAAUUUACAACACCCUGACUAAAGAGAGAGACCAGCUACAGAAUAGUCUAAAUACAAGGACCACAGAGAGAGACCAGUUACAGAAUAGUCUAAAUACCAGGACCACAGAGAGAGACCAGUUACAGAAUAGUCUAAAUACCAGGACCACAGAGAGAGACCAGCUACAGAAUAGUCUAAAUACCAGGACCACAGAGAGAGACCAGCUACAGAAUAGUCUAAAUACCAGGACCACAGA